rnacentral:misc_RNA from 1 species
GAUGAAGAACGUAGCGAAAUGCGAUAAGUAAUGUGAAUUGCAGAAUUCAGUGAAUCAUCGAAUCUUUGAACGCAUCUUGCGCUCCUUGGUAUUCUGAGGAGCAUGCCUGUUUGAGUGUCAUUAAAUUCUCAACUACACUGACUUUGAAUUGGUGUGGCUUGGAUUUGGGGGGAAAAUUGUUGUGGGCUUUUUGUAUAGUCUGCUCCCCUGAAAUUGAUUAGCGGUACCUUUGUGGAACUGUCUACAGGUGUGAUAAUUAUAUACAUCUUAGACAUCUGCUGGAAUGCUGCUUUCUAAACCUUACUUGUAUUGACAAUCUUGACCUCAAAUCAGGUAGGACUACCCGCUGAACUUAAGCAUAUCAAUAAGCGGAGGA